rnacentral:rRNA from 1 species
CCCUUAGAUGUUCUGGGCCGCACGCGCGCUACACUGACGAAUGCAACGAGCUUAUAACCUUGGCCGAAAGGUCUGGGUAAUCUCCAAAUUUCGUCGUGAUGGGGAUAGAUUAUUGCAAUUAUUAAUCUUCAACGAGGACUGCCUAGUAAGCGCAAGUCAUCAGCUUGCGUUGAUUACGUCCCUGCCCUUUGUACACACCGCCCGUCGCUCCUACCGAUUGAAUGGUCCGGUGAAGCGUUCGGACCGUGGCCUUUGGACGGUUCGCCGUCUGUUGGCUGCGGGAAGUUCGUUAAACCUUAUCAUUUAGAGGAAGGAGAAGUCGUAACA